rnacentral:rRNA from 1 species
UACGUAGGGCGCAAGCGUUGUCCGGAAUUAUUGGGCGUAAAGAGCUCGUAGGCGGCCUGUUGCGUCCGCUGUGAAAUCCCGGGGCUCAACCCCGGGCCUGCAGUGGAUACGGGCUGGCUAGAGGCAGGCAGGGGAGAACGGAAUUCCUGGUGUAGCGGUGAAAUGCGCAGAUAUCAGGAGGAACACCGGUGGCGAAGGCGGUUCUCUGGGCCUGUACUGACGCUGAGACGCGAAAGCGUGGGGAGCGAACAGG